UGACAGACUGUCCAAAGAAGCAUGUCAGGAUAUCAGUGGUAAAGUCCAACAGGCAAAAGCCAAAAAGGACCACACCAUCAAUGUCCAGGCCAGUGAAGCCAGCACUAGCAACAACAGUCCUGUUGAAAGUGAUCAAGCCAACUUCAGCGCCGUUGAAAAGGAUCGUAAACACUGUCCCUUCAUUGAGGCUAAGGUCUACAGGGCAGGACACUUCAUUAUCAGCCAAGGCAGUUUGACCAAUAGAAAAAAAGAGGUCACCAAGAAAAGCAGUGGGCAGAUUUACACAGCUAGAGUGGAAGUAUGUGAUACUAGUGAACAAGGUUUCAAAGUAAAAGAGGAACAUCAAGGCAAGCAAACAGUCUUUGAAUGUCAGCACUGUGCCAAGACGUUCCCCACCUUAAAAAGCAUGCAAAAGCAUUGGAAAUAUCACUCUCCAAACAAAACGCACAUUUGCUCUCAUUGUGGGAAGGGGUAUGUAUAUAAAUGUCAUCUGAAAAUCCAUAUGCAGUCGCACACAAGAGAGAGGCCACAUCAGUGCAAACAGUGUGGGAAGAGGUUCAUAUACCGCUCCAAUCUGAAGUCUCACCUGGUGUACCACACUGGAGAAAAGCCACAUGUCUGCCUGCAGUGUGGAAUGGCCUUCAGUCGUCACGGCUAUCUGAUCAACCAUGUCACCAUCCACUCUGGCCUGAGACCUUACGGCUGCUUGGAUUGUGGAAAGAAGUUUACCACAAAAGGAGGUUUGAAAAGGCACGAGGGGAUUCAUCUAAAAAAGAAAACAAAUGGUUGAUUUAAAGGCUGUGGUUCUCAGACUUUUUCUGUCAUUCCCCACAUUGAACAAGGGGGCCUUUUCAAGCCCCACCUGUCCCUCAUCGCUCCUUCUCUGCGCCCCACCUGUCCCUCAUCGCUCCUUUUCUGCGCCCCAGCAGUUGGGCUGGCCCCACACUUUGAGAAACGCUGAUUUAAGGUCAAAUAAGCAGUGAUUUUAAAGGUGCACUGUGUAGGGUUUAGAGACAUCUAGUGGUGAGAUUGCAGCCAUCUGAAUACCCCUCCUUUUUCAAGUGUUUGUAUGAUAAC